UUGCUGAUCUUAUGAUAUUACGCUUACCAUUACUAUCUUCCAAGGAUAUGAGUCUUUUAUGUACAGUAUGCCUAACAUGACCGACCAACCUUCCUUACUCCACUGGACAGGUUCAAAUGAAGAGCAACAAGUUGGUGCAGAGAAGAAUGUCCCAUAGGAGAAGUGUGGUGCUACUGCGACUGUCAUUGAGUUUAAGAAUGGAGACUCAGUGUGGGAGAAAGAAAUCACAAUGGUUCAAAUGAAGAGCAGCAAGUUGGUGCAGAUUGGAAAGGAAGUCAGAAAAUAAAUGUACAGUGCCAAGAUGGUUGCAGAGACUCCCAGUGUGGGAGAAAUAGUGUUCAAAAGAAGAGCAGCAAGUUGGUGCAGAGAAGAACGUCCCAUAGGAGAAGUGUGGUGCUCCUGCGACUGUCAUUGAGGUUAAGAAUGGAGACUCAGUGUGGGAGAAAGAAAUCACAAUGGUUCAAAUGAAGAGCAACAAGUUGGUGCAGAGAAGAACGUCCCAUAGGAGAAGUGUGGUGCUCCUGGGACUGUCAUUGAGGUUAAGAAUGGAGACAGCUGGCUCAUCAGCAGACUCCAAGCUGUUUCAUUUUCAUUAGACUUGUGAAAUAAGACUAAAAAUGAAGUGUAUCAGAAUAUGUUCUUACUUUCAUUGACGUAAGGUUGUAAAUGAUGUUGCUGUAUUGUCAACUGAAUUGUCCUUCCUUAAUUACUGUAGCAACAGAGCUUGUAGUAUGUUUCUGUUGCAGAUAUGUCUGUGGUGCCAUUCUGCCACUGGUCCUUCUGGUCCUGCAAAAUUUUCUUUCAGAAUCGGCUCGUUAUUAUUCCUCACUUGAGUGGAGCGAGUUGCAUCCGAUAAAAAUGUCUGCCAAACAUGUCUGAAUGGAAAUGUUAUAUAAUUGUGUGAAUUUUUGAUUGAGAAAAGAUACGUUUGUAAUGAAAAAUUAAAAUAAUAAAUUGCCAACAAUU